GAUGACAUUAAAAUAACGUGUGAUGUGAAUGGCACUGUUGAAGUCCAAAAUGGAGAAAAUGUGACAAUUCGCUGCACAUCAUUUCCAAACGCACAGUACAGAUGGACCAAGAAUGAUGAACUGUUGUCAGAGACUGAAUCUCUGGAGCUCCGGUGGGUGACUGAUGCUAAUGCAGGGGUUUAUACACUGAGUGUCAACACAGGAAGCAAAUCUGUGCGCAAAGAGUUUGUGGUCACAGUGCAACCACAAGUUUGAAGACAGGAUGGAUCUACCACCUCCUUUCAAUCUCCCUCCAGCUUUAGUCAAGUAUACAGCUGCAAGGUAGAGCAAGACUACAACAGAGCCUUUCCCCAUCUUUGACACAGAUUCAAAUAUGAAAUAUGUCAGCUGAAAAGUGAAGUAAUAGUAGGGAUGGGGUUUAAACCAUGUCUUCUCUUGUUACUAAUUAGAAACCAGUACAAACCAGAAGUUUUGCAACUGUAGCCCUGUCUAAAGGCAUUUUCAGGAUUUUUUUUGAAUGAGGUGACAAUUGUUGAUUUAUUUUUGUGUAUAUAGCUUUGCAGUUGUAGCUGUUGAUGAAUUACUUUUAAUUUUAAUAUAUUUCUCAGUACCUUGAGCUAUAAACCAACAAUUAAAUAAAAUACAAGUACAUAAAACCUGAGUAAAUAAUCCUGUAUAUGCUCUGAUCCAAUUUCCACAAUUGUUCUUUUUGUUUUUUUAAAUUAUAAUUUGUAUUUCUGAUUUACUAAGUUUUACAGACCAAUAAACCACAAAUGCUACAUUUCUGCAACAUA